UUCCGUAGGUGAACCUGCGGAAGGAUCAUUCGCACAUGUUCCAAUAACACUCUUGUGAAUUCUUCUGUGAGGGCUGUGUGGGGAUGUACAUUCAGGUUCUCCAUGCAGAUGCUCGCGGGUGGUGGGUUGGACCGGAUGAAGAACAUACCUGUUCGUUCCCACCGCCACUGCAUAUCGCAAGUCGUUUGAUGCAGCCUUCUGUUAUAUGGCAAUCGCCAUGUGCAGCUCACAACUUUCAGCGAUGGAUGUCUCGGUUCGAACAACGAUGAAGGGCGCAGCGAAGUGCGAUAAGCAUUGUGAAUUGCAGAAUUCCGUGAACCGACAGGGACUUGAACGCAUAUUGUGCUUUUGGGAUAUCCCUAAAAGCAUGCCUGCUUCAGUGUCUAUUCUGUGUUGUUUCAGUGGCUGUCGCUUUUCGCAAAGCAUGCUACUGCGAGUGUCUGUGCCUCAAGAUGUGCUGGUCCUUUCUGGUAGCACUCCUGAGGCAUGCGAUUGACAAGGCUCCGUUGUGACGGUCAGCUUACUAAGGCAUCUGUGGUGUGCAGCUAGCUGUGCUCGUCGCAUCGUGGGGUUUGAUGUCACGAUCUGGUCAUACCAAGCAUGUAAGACAUGAAGUUAGGUUGGCAAACCCGCUGAAUUUAAGCAUAUCAAUA
rnacentral:rRNA from 1 species